rnacentral:rRNA from 1 species
GUUUCGGAUCUCAGAUCAAGCAAGAGGACCCGCU